rnacentral:misc_RNA from 1 species
GAUGAAGAACGCAGCGAAAUGCGAUAAGUAAUGUGAAUUGCAGAAUUCAGUGAAUCAUCGAAUCUUUGAACGCACAUUGCGCCCGCCAGUAUUCUGGCGGACAUGCCUGUUCGAGCGUCAUUUCAACCAUCAAGCCCCCGGCUUGUGUUGGGGACCUGCGGCUGCCGCAGGCCCUGAAAACCAGUGGCGGGCUCGCUAGUCACUCCGAGCGUAGUAAUACAUCUCGCUCAGGGCGUGCUGCGGGUUCCGGCCGUUAAAAAGCCUUAUUUACCCAAGGUUGACCUCGGAUCAGGUAGGAAGACCCGCUGAACUUAAGCAUAUCAAUAAGCGGAGGA